AGGUGGUACAGUGGGUUGUGCAUCUGGCUGUUAACCAAAAGGUUACUGGUUCAAGCCCACCCAGGGAUG